rnacentral:lncRNA from 1 species
GUCAAAACGGACACCUCUGAAACAAAGACAGAUUAACAAGAGAAAAGCCCAACAAAUAUAUUCGACCACAGCUUUACAAUACACAGGAGCCUUCGGAAUGAAGACCCAAAGACCCAAGAAAAAGUCCGAGAGGGCAACGCCAUGGGGCUGAGCUGCUCAAUGCCCUCCCAGUGCAUCCUGCUGCAAGGAUGCCCCCCAGGAUGCUGCCUCACCUAACCAGCCGCUCCAGGAGUGGCCCCCAGCCCCCACCCCAUGGAGCUUCGACUUCCUGGUGACCAGUGCUCCAGUAACCUCUAAGUGCUUGAACCACGCCUGUCAGCCAGUUAUGGCUUUGGCUCUGAGAGCCCCCCUGACCAACUUAACCAAUGCUUUUUUUCUGUAAGAAAUUGCCACUUACUGUUGGUUUCUGUCCGACCCGGUGAGAUACUUGAGGCUUCCCCUACCUGUGCACACAACGAAAUGAAG